rnacentral:lncRNA from 1 species
AUGUGCUUGGAAGUUGUUUGGUUCCAAUAUGCACCCCACUUGAAAUUAUUAGACCAUAUACUAUGUUCAAAAAUUUUCCCACAAGUAAAUCUCAGUUAUUUGGAUAGUUACAAUUGGGGACAGGUGACAUGUUACAAACCAAAGAAUGCUAUUAAGCUAUAUACCCCUCGAGUAGCUAUGUCCAAUAAGACUCUCUGUGCCAAAUAUAAAGGUUGUACUUCCCAGUGUUUAAAUCUUAAACAAACAGAUGUAAUGAAGUGUUCUAGAGAACAAAAGAUUCCUUACAGCAAAUGCCAUAUUACUUUGCCACUGGGAUGGUUUUAUACUUGUGAGAGGGUUAAAAAUAUGUGCUGCUUCAAUUUAACAAAUAAUGGGCCAGCUAUAGAACAAGACAUAGAAAAACUCAAAGAUUUAGCUACAAAGAUUCAUAAUGAAUGGAUAGGAUGGGAUUUAUUUAAAUGGUUAACAAGUUGGUUACCUGACAUUACCUGGGUAAAACAACUGAUACUCUGUGUGAUGACAUUAGGAUUAUGUAUUAUAAUAACUUGUUGUCUUUUACAAUGUGUUCAGUUAAUAAGACCCAGAGUUAGAUAUAAGUAAAUAAAAGAUUUGAUUUAGGCCCAAAAAUCAGUGGGGAAUGUAGGAGCCUGACUGAACCAGAGCGAGUCCAUGUUGACCAGCAAACGACCUAGAGACUGUCGCUCCCCCCAUCCCUUAUAGGAUAACUAAUGAUUAAUUGUGAAUUGUUAGGUGGCUGUUUUGGAGUAGCUAGGAAACUAGGUGGAAACUAUAAUGAACACAGAGACCCAACGCAGGUCUCGCCACUCCUUGCAUGCCUGUAGUCUGAAUGUUCUGAACUUUAUGAUGAUCUAGGUUGUAAAUGGAACAAUGAAUAAUCAUUCUGCUGAUCAUUAGUACGUGACGACCACUAGCUCAGAUCAACUAACUCUUUGUCUUUGUCCUCUUCCUGUAAGUUUUAAGUGUAAACCCCCCUUCAGCCCUAUAUAAAAUGGCCUCUGUUUCUGAGCUGGCCUCCUCUCUGAGCUACUAGGCUUGGGAGUGCCGUCUGGCCAGACUAAUAAAGGUCUAUUUGCCAACUUGCCUGGUGUGUGCCUGGUGUGUUCCUUCCUGGGUGACUCUCGCUGUGUGACUAGCUCCUGGAGCCUCGCUGAGCUUCUGAGCCCAGCAUCGUGGAAGCCUCUUGGCUGUUCACGCUCCAGGAGUAAAAGUGAGACUUAAGUCUUACAGAAUGAUGGUCAAAGAGCAGGAAACUAGCCAGUUCUCUUCUCUACCUAUCCC